rnacentral:lncRNA from 1 species
UCGGCCUCUUGCUGUCCACCUCCCUAUGGUAGAGCUAAAUGCAAUCUGCUUGACUCACCCCACUGACCCCACACCCUGCAUGGACUUCACAGAUAUGCCUCAAUGACCAUCUUAGUCCACAAGUGCCUCCGUGGAACUUGUGCCUGCUUGCUCUAGACUCACUGAUUAGAACGCCGCACUGGAAACCUGCUCAGGCAUUCAACAAGAAGUAUAAAUAACAUACUUUCCAAGAGAGAAGUUUUCAGAAAUCUAAACUUGGGAUGGGCCUGCUCCUUUUGGGAGCAAGAAUAUUUUGAGCUGGAAGAGAGUUUGCACCAACAGAGUUAAUUCACACUUCAGCCAUUCCAAUAGCCUGGAAUCUGUGCUUCUAUCCCAGGGACUGGACACCCCCCAGUACACUUAGCAGUUGGCACUGACCUAAAAUGCCUACUGAGCAGUCUGGGCCUAAUUACACACAAGCCUCAAACUAUUUAUAAGCUGCUAACCGAAGGACUUUAGUGUAUCAUCUACUGUGCAAAUUACUGUGAUGUUAUGAACCAUCAGCAUAGACAUAUGCACCACUAUCUGUGUCAAAAUUAUAUAUUUCACACAGAAGGAGCUAAAACUUUUUUGUUAUUGUUUCCUUUUUCUCUUAAUUCAAAAGUUUAUCCAGAAAGUUGCCUGUAAUCCCAGCACUUUGGGAGGCUGAGGUGGGCGGAUCACUUGAGGGUGGCCAGGAGUUCAAGACCAG